rnacentral:RNase_P_RNA from 1 species
GCUGCAGGUGAGACAUUCGCUCUUCCGUAAAAGCGGGAGGGAGGAAAGUCCGGACAGCACAGAGCGCCGCACCACCUAACGGAUGGUUUCCUGAUAUUAUGUAUCGGGAGAAGACAGUGCCACAGAAAAUAACUUCCCAGACAAUACUUGUCGGGGUAAAGGUGAAAAUGUGAGGUAAGAGCUCACGGUCCGUGGUGGCAACACCAGGGACGGGUAAACCUUGCGGGCUGUAAGGUCAAAUAUACUCCGGUUAACUGCUCAAAAGGCAGUUGGUAGGGCUGCUCGCCCUAUUCAUCUUCAUGAUGAUCCGGAGGUGGGUAGACCGCUCGAUCCCGUUGGCGACAACGGGACCAGAUAAAUGAAUGUCAGCAUCUGAAGGAGCAGCGGUGGUUGGAGAAAUCCAAUUCACCAACCCUUCGUUGGAUGAUACAGAAUCCGGCUUAUGAUCCUGCAGCAUUU